AACGAACGCUGGCGGCAUGCCUAACACAUGCAAGUCGAACGAGACCUUCGGGUUUAGUGUCGCACGGGUGCGUAACGCGUUGGAACCUGCCUUUAGGUUCGGAAUAACUCCCCGAAAGGGGUGCUAAUACCGGAUAUUGUCUUCGGUCCAAAGAUUUAUCGCCUUUGGAUGGGCCCGCGUUGGAUUAGCUGGUUGGUAGGGUAAAAGCCUAUCACUGCGACGAUCCAUAGCUGGUCUGAGAGGAUGGUCAGCGACACUGGGAGUGAGACACGGCCCAGACUCCUACGGGAAGGAGGAAUGGGGAAUAUAGGAAAAUGGGGGAAGGCAUGAAGCAGCAAUGCCGGGUGAGUGAUGAAGGCCGGAGGGUUGUAAAGUGGGUUUACCCGGGAGGAGAAUGACGGUACCGGAAGAAUAAGCACCGGCUAACUACGUG
rnacentral:rRNA from 1 species